rnacentral:rRNA from 1 species
GCCCAGACUCCUACGGGAGGCAGCAGUGGGGAAUAUUGCACAAUGGGGGAAACCCUGAUGCAGCGACGCCGCGUGAGCGAUGAAGUAUUUCGGUAUGUAAAGCUCUAUCAGCAGGGAAGAAAAUGACGGUACCUGACUAAGAAGCCCCGGCUAACUACGUGCCAGCAGCCGCGGUAAUACGUAGGGGGCAAGCGUUAUCCGGAUUUACUGGGUGUAAAGGGAGCGUAGACGGCAAUGCAAGCCAGAUGUGAAAGCCCGGGGCUCAACCCCGGGACUGCAUUUGGAACUGUGUAGCUGGAGUGUCGGAGAGGCAGGCGGAAUUCCUAGUGUAGCGGUGAAAUGCGUAGAUAUUAGGAGGAACACCAGUGGCGAAGGCGGCCUGCUGGACGAUGACUGACGUUGAGGCUCGAAAGCGUGGGGAGCAAACAGGAUUAGAUACCCCAGUA